rnacentral:rRNA from 1 species
UACGUAGGGGGCAAGCGUUGUUCGGAAUUACUGGGCGUAAAGCGCACGUAGGCGGAUACUUAAGUCAGGGGUGAAAUCCCGGGGCUCAACCCCGGAACUGCCUUUGAUACUGGGUAUCCCGAGUCCGGAAGAGGUGAGUGGAAUUCCGAGUGUAGAGGUGAAAUUCGUAGAUAUUCGGAGGAACACCAGUGGCGAAGGCGGCUCACUGGUCCGGUACUGACGCUGAGGUGCGAAAGCGUGGGGAGCAAACAGG